rnacentral:misc_RNA from 1 species
AGAAAAACCUUAAGGAAUAGGUCCGAAGAUGCGACUAGAACUGAAAGAAGAGGAAGGCCACUUGACCGAAUAGGAAGGUUUUUUUCAUUUUCCUGGGUAGGACUUGGGGUAUUCGACCGAAGCCAGUAAAGUUUCCACACCUGAGGGUGCAUCUGCAUCAACCUCUUUUCUUUCAUCACAAGAAAGGUUUGGAGGGGACAAGCGAGGCUAAAGGGUUAGGGGAGGAGUGGAAGAGAGACUUUCCGGAGAGCUCGCCUAAGCAGUCUUGGAGCGAAGGCUGCUCGACUAGACUAAUUGGUUGGAGGGGGACACAGCUACCUUUAGGAUAGGGAGACAUAGCUACCUUUAUGAAUACAUUAUCGAAGUGACAAGGAAUGGUAUCGACAGAGUGGAAGGGCCGUCGCUCAACGGAUAAAAGUUACUCUAGGGAUAACAGGCUGAUCUUCCCCUUCUCACAAUGUUACACAUAUGAUAUGUUUCCCCGCGAGUAUAGCAUUAACCACCACAUUGAGUAGUGUGGCUACAUAGGUGGGUUCACUAUUGACGACGGUCAUCCCUCCAAGUUCU